CCCAGUGCUCUGACCUCCCACCCGAGUAUUUGUGGUGAUCUUACACACACAGAGAACAAAAGGUGAUUUACCCAGUCAAGUGAGGACUAUAUUUUGCAGAGAAGUUCCCACUGGACGUGUAUCUCUGAUUGUCUCCAGUGUGGAGCUUCAACCUCAUCUUUUCAUUGUGAGAAAUGAGUUUAUGCAGUCACUUCACCUCCCAACAGCCCACCUGGAGGUCACAGCAAAGGGCUCACUUACUCACAACCUGUCUGUCCUGCAUCUCUGCAGGGGAAGCUUUUCACAGUCAAACACAUCUACAGGGAAACUGAAAUCAGGAAACGGGUUCUUUGAGUUUAUUGUCCCUGCAUUUGGAAAGAAAGAUGCUUUGUUUCCUCCCAGAGGGGCUGUGACUGUGAGAUCUGUCUGUGCAGGUGUGAGCUGCUAUUGAUGGGUGAUCAGAGCAGGUCCCUGUGCUGGGGCAGAGCACAGAGAUCAAUGAGCAGCAAGUGCAGGCAGGGCCUGGCACCUGCCUCGGUUCUGCAGAGUCCCCAGUGAGCCCCAAUCUUUGUAAAAGGCCAGAGAGGGAAGGUCUUUGUCUGCAGGCACUUGCUGGUGUCCUCCAGGGCAGCAGGAGGCUCCCAGCCAGGUCAGGGUGCUCCCUGUCAAAGGCCCAGGGACAGUCCCCUUUGCCAGGUAACCUCCUGAACUCGGUGUGGCUGAGCUGGAGAGGGGUAACUUCUUCCUGGACACCAGUGUUUGCCCCAGGACAGAUGAGGAGCCAGGGGACGGAGCAAGGAGGCUGCUCUAGUCCACCUGUGGUUUUCCUGUAAGUCCAGGAUGGGACCAGAGCCCUGCUUUACUAAUUCCCUUGACUGGCAGCAGGUGUUCACAGCAAAACCAGCUUCCAGAACCUGUCUGGCUGUGCAGAAUCUCGAAAUGGGAACAAUUGUCCCUGUCACCUCCCCUGUGAUAACCCCAGUGGGACACGUGGGCUGUCGGGCAGAUAAAGCUGCUGUUGAUGUGGAACACACUGGGCCAGUCAAACCAGCUCGAGCACUGCCUCCUGCUUGGCUAAUUAAUUUUAUCUUCUACUCAAACCUCAGCGAUCCUCAGCCCCGUAGAAUUGAUUUCAGGGCAAAGGAGGGAUAUUUGCUUCUUACAAGCCAACUCCAGUUACAAAUCUGAAGCACUUGCUCUCUGUAAUUUGCAUCAGCGUGUUCUAAAGUAGGACACAGCACUUGGAUGGUUUCUAUUUUGGGAACUUACAAUGUAUUUUUAUAAUGGUUUUUUCCUUCCCCUCCCUUCUCUUUUCUUUUCUCGGAGACAAACAGCAGCUGUGUUGUUGGCACAGUGCUGAGGGAGGGAGGCAGGAGGUUACCAAGGGCACAGAGAUAAGCAGUUCUGGUGUAAAUCAGAUCCUUCACAAAGCUGAGAUUAGAAAUUGUCACUUGUCUGCAAAUAAGUGAUGAUUUCUUGCCCUCCCCGUAUGCGCAGGCACUUUGAUUUCCCAUUCAGAUGGUUUCUAACACUUCACUCUGGAGUGGCAAAGGCAAGGAUCAAGUCUCCACUCGUCCAGGAAGGACAGAACCUGGCUGUUCUCAGGACAGGCCCAGCACACGGACUGACCCUGCCGUGGAGCCACCACUGAAGCAAAGAGCAGUCUGGGGCAGCAGAUCUGGCCCUGUGUUGGCCACCCAAAGUCUCCAGACACACUGAUGGUACCACAGAGUGACAGAACUCCCUGGGCUCAGGGCAGUGCCUGGGUGGGGGACUGGGAGCAGGAGCAGGAGCAGCCUUUACACCAGUGGGACUGAACCAGAACCACAGGGUCACUGAGGUGGGAAAGGACCUCUGAGAUCACCAGUCCCCCCUGUGCCCAGUGCCCACCUUGUCCCCCAGCCCAGAGCACUGAGUGCCAUGGCCAGGCCUUCCUGGGCACCUCCAGGGCUGGGCACUCCACCACACGUGGCUGUGUGACCACAAACCAAGGACCUCUGCCUUGCCUGAACACCUUCCCAAGCCUGAAUCUGAGGCAAGCAGUUUUAUCCAAGGUGAUGCUCAAUACUAAGAUGAAGGAUAUUUAAUUAAAUGUUAUACUCAACAAAUCUGAUACCAACAAUUGUCUGUCAAGUUCCUGUAAAACUGAUAGUAAUAAAAGCAGAACGACUCAUAUACUGA